UACGGAGGAUCCAAGCGUUAUCCGGAAUCAUUGGGUUUAAAGGGUCCGUAGGCGGCCCAGUAAGUCAGUGGUGAAAUCUCCGGGCUUAACCUGGAAACUGCCAUUGAUACUAUAGGUCUUGAAUUUUCUGGAGGUAAGCGGAAUAUGUCAUGUAGCGGUGAAAUGCUUAGAUAUGACAUAGAACACCAAUUGCGAAGGCAGCUUGCUACAGGAAUAUUGACACUGAGGCACGAAAGCGUGGGGAUCAAACAGGAUU
rnacentral:rRNA from 1 species